rnacentral:rRNA from 1 species
UACAGAGGUCCCAAGCGUUGUUCGGAUUCACUGGGCGUAAAGGGUGCGUAGGCGGUCGGGUAAGUCUGAUGUGAAAUCUCACAGCUUAACUGUGAAACUGCAUUGGAUACUAUCCGGCUCGAGGAAUGGAGGGGAGACUGGAAUACUUGGUGUAGCAGUGAAAUGCGUAGAUAUCAAGUGGAACACCAGUGGCGAAGGCGAGUCCCUGGACAUUUCCUGACACUGAGGCACGAAAGCUAGGGGAGCAAACAGG